rfam:Morus notabilis contig27001, whole genome shotgun sequence.
AUACCAUGUUGUGGGCAUUUUCUCAACAAGUCUUUGUAUCGUUCCCAAGUUUCAUAUAGUGUCUCUUCAUCCCGCUGCUGGAAAGAAGUAAUGUCAUUCCUCAAUUU